UGGGGAAUAUUGCACAAUGGGCGAAAGCCUGAUGCAGCGACGCCGCGUGAGGGAUGACGGCCUUCGGGCUGUAAACCUCUUUCAGCAGGGAAGAAGCGAAAGUGACGGUACCUGCAGAAGAAGCGCCGGCUAACUACGUGCCAGCAGCCGCGGUAAUACGUAGGGCGCAAGCGUUGUCCGGAAUUAUUGGGCGUAAAGAGCUCGUAGGCGGUUAGUCGCGUCUGCUGUGAAAACUCGAGGCUCAACCUCGGGCUUGCAGUGGGUACGGGCUGACUAGAGUGCGGUAGGGGUGACUGGAAUUCCUGGUGUAGCGGUGGAAUGCGCAGAUAUCAGGAGGAACACCGAUGGCGAAGGCAGGUCACUGGGCCGCAACUGACGCUGAGGAGCGAAAGCAUGGGGAGCGAACAGGAUUAGAUAGCCCUGGUAGUCCAUGCCGUAAACGUUGGGCACUAGGUGUGGGGUCCA
rnacentral:rRNA from 1 species